rnacentral:rRNA from 2 species
UACGUAGGGUGCAAGCGUUGUCCGGAAUUAUUGGGCGUAAAGAGCUCGUAGGCGGUCUGUCGCGUCGGCUGUGAAAACUCGGGGCUCAACUCCGAGCUUGCAGUCGAUACGGGCAGGCUAGAGUUCGGCAGGGGAGACUGGAAUUCCUGGUGUAGCGGUGAAAUGCGCAGAUAUCAGGAGGAACACCGGUGGCGAAGGCGGGUCUCUGGGCCGAUACUGACGCUGAGGAGCGAAAGCGUGGGGAGCGAACAGG